UUGUCCGUACCGCGGAAGAGUGCGGCAAGCACGAAGCUGCGAGCAGGGUGUGGUCCGAGGAGGAGCACAGAGAGCUGCUCUACCGCCUUCAAUGGUAUGCCAAGCAUGACAGUGCCAGCAUGUGUCUCCACAUCGCAUUCCAUCUGCCCAACAAGACUGCAAAGGAUGUCGCCCUGCGAUGGCGGUGGUUGCAGG